rnacentral:misc_RNA from 1 species
UGAUUCGAUGCUCUGUCCCCGAGUAACGUAGAUCAAAUGUCAGGAAAUGGCUUGAAGAAAUUGAUUCCAGGCAGGGCAAUAGCAAGAUACAAGUAUAAUUAGUGACAAUAUGAGGAGGGAAUUGCAGUUGUGGAAGCAUUAAGGAGAGAAAAUAUCUUCCCCACAGAUACAUUUCCAGACUUGAGGAUAGUAAUCAUUCUCUUUCAACUCCAUUGCAGGGACAGAUACUUGAACAGGUUUGCAGGGCUUGCAUUGGUUGCACUUUGAAUGGCAUUUAGCAGGAAAUGAACCUUUCAUUGCCUUUCCAGGGCCACCUCUUCCCUUAGAUAGAUUCAGGUCUCUGGCCAUUGGCUCACCACCCACCUGGAAAAAUUAAAAUCAGGAAAAGAAAAAGAUGUAUGCUAGG